GCGAUCUACUUAAAAGUUGCGUACUUUCACCGAAAGUGUUUUUUUUCGAAUCCGACUAUACACCUACACUUUGACACAACGAAGCAUGAAGAAAUUAGAAGGGAAAGGAGGAAAUGGAUUCUGCUGCAGCAGGAACUGAAGUUUCUCAAAGCCUUCAGUAGGUUUAGUUUCCAUGUUCAUCAGUGCUUGGUUGUGGAGUGUAACAGCAUCUAAUUCUUCUUCUGAGCGAGGUGGCAUGUCUGUGAGUGCUUCUCUGGCUGAUUCAACUGCAGACAAAAACACCCACUGUUCUGGAGUUCACAGGAAGUUGCUUCAUCACCAUACAGCUGUAUGCUGGUCAACCAUUCAGUUACAUCAAGUCAACUUGUGAAUUGUGCAACACAUAACUAACUACCCCUGCCAUUAUUACUGCAAGAAGUCUUCACUAAAAGUUAAUUCAUAUACUAUAAUAACUUCACACACAUACACACACACAGGUUGUCCCACCUAACUCUGUGACUUCAAACAACUCUCUUAUUUUAAAAUAUACAAAAAGAAAAAAGUUUCAUUCAAAAUGUAAUGUCUGAAGGUAACAUUAAGCAGUAAAAUAUUAGUUAUGGAACUGUUAUGAAGUUCUCAACACAGGUCCACCAUAUCCAUUCCAAAAUUAUGGUUUUCCUGCAAAUUUCGCACAUGUAGCGAGAUGAGUACUUCAUGGACAGUUUUCUGAUUAUUGGAUCAAACACAGUGGACAUGUGUGGAGGCUACCACAUUCACCAAAUGUAACACUGUUAUAUUUCUUUCUUUGGGGAACAACAAAGGAUAAAGUCCACCACAAUCUUGUUGAAACAGCGAAGAAAAGGAAAUGUGAAUUGUAUGAAAGGGGGUGUUGAUACAAGCAGGGGCAUUCUAAGGCUCUGUUAGAUAGUGAUUUUGAAAUUCUGUUGGACAAUAAAAGAAGAACAGCUACUUGGGAUACCAUUGAUGCACCAGCCCAUGGAUCCCAUCCACAAAGACCACCCUGGGCUAAUUGCUAGAAUCACUGCACUGCUGCACCCUUUACUUUAUCUGGCCUGAAUCUAUAACCCUUAAGUAAUUUCUUGAGGGGACAAAACAUAUUUAAGUCACAGUGAGAAAUUAGCAACCCCAUAAUAUCAACAAUAAAAAAUUAUACAAAAAGCACUGAUGAUAGAUCUCACACCCUCAGAAUAAACUUUCACGCCACCAUCUUAAUAUCUGAACUCUAAAUCUUGACAAUAUUUUUUUAUAACAUACACAAGGUCUCCUUGUUCAUAUUUACAAUCAGUCAUCACAAUUACCUUUCCUUGAAAAGCUGGAUCAUUAAUCUGGGCAGUAACUUUCAUUGCGUUCUCAUAAAGACAAGCCUGGUACAGAGAUUGAGCAUAGUAAAGGUGAUACUCUGCUUCUUCAGGCUGGAGAAGGGUCAGUUUCUCAUAACACUCAGCUGCAUUUCUGAAAUCCUGAGUGUAAAAGUAGCAGAAUGCCAAAAGAGACAGGCCUGCUCUUGACUGAAAUGUAACAUUUAAAUACAAUGUAUAAAUUCUAAUUUGCCCUAACAGCAUAGUAAUACUAAAAUAUAAAACAAUUGUUCUACAGCGACUCAACAAACCUGCAUGCCAUAUACUUUUAUCACAUGGCUGAAACAAGGCAUUAACUCCUGGGUUAACAAUUUAGUGAUAAGCUAGUGCAAUGCCUUGUCAGCUGGACUGUGCAUAAUCCAUGAUGCAUGGAUGAUAAAGGUUAAUAUUUUCUGCACUAAUAUUAGCACUGACACUUGUACUUAUAUAUUUAAAACAUGUGAAUUUGAACUUACUGCUUGAUUUGUUUCCAGUACAUUGGUUAACACUUGUAUUGCAUCAUUGUAUCGUUGUUCUUUGAUCUAAAAGUAAAUUAAAAAUAUACAUAUUA